rnacentral:rRNA from 1 species
ACUCGAGUGGCGAACGGGUGAGUAACACGUGGGUGAUCUGCCCCUGACUUUGGGAUAAGCCUGGGAAACUGGGUCUAAUACCGAAUAUUCAUUUUUCCUCGCAUGGGGAUUUGUGGAAAGCUUUUGCGGUUGGGGAUGGGCCCGCGGCCUAUCAGCUUGUUGGUGGGGUAAUGGCCUACCAAGGCGACGACGGGUAGCCGACCUGAGAGGGUGAUCGGCCACACUGGGACUGAGACACGGCCCAGACUCCUACGGGAGGCAGCAGUGGGGAAUAUUGCACAAUGGGCGCAAGCCUGAUGCAGCCCCCGCCGCGUGAGGGAUGACGGCCUUCGGGUUGUAAACCUCUUUCAGCUCCGACGAAGCGCAAGUGACGGUAGGAGCAGAAGAAGCACCGGCCAACUACGUGCCAGCAGCCGCGGUAAUACGUAGGGUGCAAGCGUUGUCCGGAAUUACUG